rnacentral:rRNA from 1 species
UACGUAGGGUGCGAGCGUUGUCCGGAAUUAUUGGGCGUAAAGGGCUCGUAGGCGGUUUGUCGCGUCGGGAGUGAAAACCCAGGGCUUAACUCUGGGCUUGCUUUCGAUACGGGCAGACUAGAGGUAUGCAGGGGAGAACGGAAUUCCUGGUGUAGCGGUGAAAUGCGCAGAUAAUCAGGAGGAACACCGGUGGCGAAGGCG